UACAGAGGGUGCGAGCGUUGUCCGGAAUCACUGGGCGUAAAGGGCGCGUAGGUGGCGCCCCAAGUCUGUGGUGAAAGCUCGAUGCUCAACAUCGAGUCGGCCACGGAAACUGGGGGGCUGGAGCACUGUAGAGGCUAAUGGAAUUCCGGGUGUAGCGGUGGAAUGCGUAGAGAUCCGGAAGAACACCGGGUGGCGAAGGCGGUUAGCUGGGCAGUUGCUGGA
rnacentral:rRNA from 1 species